CCUACGGGGGGCAGCAGUGGGGAAUAUUGCACAAUGGGGGAAACCCUGAUGCAGCGACGCCGCGUGAGUGAAGAAGUAUCUCGGUACGUAAAGCUCUAUCAGCAGGGAAGAAAAUGACGGUACCUGACUAAGAAGCCCCGGCUAACUACGUGCCAGCAGCCGCGGUAAACCGGAGGGGGCAAGCGUUAUCCGGAUUUACUGGGGGGAAAGGGAGCGUAGACGGCAGCACAAGCCUGGAGUGAAAUCCCGGGGCUUAACCCCGGAACUGCUUUGGAAACUGGGCGGCUGGAGUGCAGGAGGGGUAAGCGGAAUUCCUAGUGUAGCGGUGAAAUGCGUAGAUAUUAGGAGGAACACCGGUGGCGAAGGCGGCUUACUGGACUGUAACUGACGUUGAGGCUCGAAAGCGUGGGGAGCAAACAGGAUUAGAUACCCUAGUAGUC
rnacentral:rRNA from 1 species